GAUGAAGAACGUAGCGAAAUGCGAUAAGUAGUGUGAAUUGCAGAAUUCAGUGAAUCAUCGAAUCUUUGAACGCACAUUGCGCCCCUUGGUAUUCCAUGGGGCAUGCCUGUUCGAGCGUCAUUUGUACCUUCAAGCUUUGCUUGGUGUUGGGUGUUUGUCCCGAGGGACUCGCCUUAAAGUAAUUGGCAGCCAGUGUUUGGUUUUGAAGCGCAGCACAAGUCGCGAUUCAAGGCUACACGCCCGCUUCCACAAGCCUUUUUUCACUUUUGACCUCGGAUCAGGUAGGAUACCCGCUGAACUUAAGCAUAUCAAUAAGCGGAGGA
rnacentral:misc_RNA from 1 species